GCUCCCUUUUAACGAGCUCACGUUCUUAGCAACAAUAGGUCGAGGAAAUAAUCGAGGUAAAGCAACAGCUUUAGCUUUGAGUGAGAUUUCAUUGUUAACAGGCCUAUGACGAGAUCGUGGGCAUGAGAACAUAACAAAGUCUAAAUGUCUAAUCCUAAACUUCUGUCCAGUGAUCCACAUCAACUGGCUUACCUCUUUGCGGUCACUCAAUCCUUUUUGUAAUAUAGUUGUUGACCCUAUGUUUUACUCACUCUUGCUUUUGAGUUAAUCAUCUGUCUAUUCCAAAUAAACAUUUGGUUUGCUGUGUAGUCUACCUCAACCACACUUCUGUUAUUUAAAUCUG
rnacentral:misc_RNA from 1 species